ACAUGCAAGUCGAGGGUAUAGUUCUUCGGAACUAGAGACCGGCGCACGGGUGCGUAACGCGUAUGCAAUCUACCUUUUGCAGAGGGAUAGCCAGAGAAAUUUGGAUUAAUACCUCAUAGUAUAGCAGUUUCGCAUGAAACCACUAUUAAAGUCACAACGGCAAAAGAUGAGCAUGCGUCCCAUUAGCUAGUUGGUAAGGUAACGGCUUACCAAGGCUACGAUGGGUAGGGGUCCUGAGAGGGAGAUCCCCCACACUGGUACUGAGACACGGACCAGACUCCUACGGGAGGCAGCAGUGAGGAAUAUUGGACAAUGGGCGCAAGCCUGAUCCAGCCAUGCCGCGUGCAGGAUGACGGUCCUAUGGAUUGUAAACUGCUUUUGUACAGGAAGAAACACUCCCUCGUGAGGGAGCUUGACGGUACUGUAAGAAUAAGGAUCGGCUAACUCCGUG
rnacentral:rRNA from 1 species